rnacentral:rRNA from 1 species
AUACGUAGGGAGCGAGCGUUGUCCGGAUUUACUGGGUGUAAAGGGUGCGUAGGCGGCUCUGCAAGUCAGGUGUGAAAACCAUCGGCUUAACUGAUGGACUGCAUUUGAAACUGUGGGGCUUGAGUGGAGUAGAGGCAGGCGGAAUUCCCGGUGUAGCGGUGAAAUGCGUAGAGGUCGGGAAGAACACCAGUGGCGAAGGCGGUCUGCUGGGCUCUAACUGACGCUGAGGCACGAAAGCAUAGGUAGCAAACAGGAUUAGAUACCCUGGUAGUCCAUGCCGUAAACGAUGAUUACUAGGUGUGGGGAGCCUGACCCUCUCCGUGCCGGAGUUAACACAAUAAGUAAUCCACCUGGGAAGUACGACCGCAAGGUUAAA